GAUGAACGCUAGCGGCAGGCUUAAUACAUGCAAGUCGAGGGGCAGCAGGACUGUAGCAAUACAGUUGCUGGCGACCGGCAAACGGGUGCGGAACACGUACGCAACCUACCCAAAACUGGGGGAUAGCCCGGGGAAACCCGGAUUAAUACCUCGUAACCUUUUUAAGUGGCAUCACUUGAUAAGUAUAGCUCCGGCGGUUUUGGAUGGGCGUGCGCCUGAUUAGGUAGUUGGUGCGGGUAACGGCCCACCAAGCCUGCGAUCAGUAACUGGCGUGAGAGCACGACCAGUCACACGGGCACUGAGACACGGGCCCGACUCCUACGGGAGGCAGCAGUAAGGAAUAUUGGUCAAUGGACGCAAGUCUGAACCAGCCAUGCCGCGUGAAGGAUGAAGGUCCUCUGGAUUGUAAACUUCUUUUAUGGGGGACGAAACCCGGAUAUUCUUAUCCGAUUGACGGUACCUCAGGAAUAAGCACCGGCUAACUCCGUG
rnacentral:rRNA from 1 species